GAUGAACGCUGGCGGUAUGCUUAACACAUGCAAGUCGAACGGGGUUCCUAGUCACCUAGUGGCGGACGGGUGAGUAACGCGUGAGAAUCUGGCCUCAGGUCCGGGACAACCACGGGAAACGGUGGCUAAUACCGGAUGUGCCAUAUUGGUGAAAGAUUAAUUGCCUGAGGAUGAGCUCGCGUCUGAUUAGCUAGUUGGUGGGGUAAAGGCUUACCAAGGCGACGAUCAGUAACUGGUCUGAGAGGAUGACCAGUCACACUGGGACUGAGACACGGCCCAGACUCCUACGGGAGGCAGCAGUGGGGAAUUUUCCGCAAUGGGCGAAAGCCUGACGGAGCAAUACCGCGUGAGGGAGGAAGGCUCUUGGGGUGUAAACCUCUUUUCUCAGGGAAGAAGAAUGACGGUACCUGAGGAAUCAGCAUCGGCUAACUCCGUG
rnacentral:rRNA from 1 species